rnacentral:rRNA from 1 species
UACGUAGGGUGCAAGCGUUGUCCGGAAUUACUGGGCGUAAAGGGCGCGUAGGCGGCCUUCUAAGUCGGACGUGAAAUCCCUCGGCUCAACCGAGGAACUGCGUCCGAUACUGAAAGGCUUGAAUCCGGGAGAGGGAUGUGGAAUUCCAGGUGUAGCGGUGAAAUGCGUAGAUAUCGGGAGGAACACCAGUGGCGAAGGCGGCUCUCUGGGGUAUUUCUGACGCUGAGGCACGAAAGCCAGGGGAGCGAACGGG